rnacentral:rRNA from 1 species
UACAGAGGGGGCAAGCGUUAUUCGGAAUUAUUGGGCGUAAAGGGCGCGUAGGCGGCUUUUCAAGUGACGGGUGAAAUCCCUCGGCUUAACCGAGGAACUGCCUGUCAGACUGGAAGGCUUGAGACCGGGAGAGGUGAGUGGAAUUCCCAGUGUAGCGGUGAAAUGCGUAGAUAUUGGGAGGAACACCAGUGGCGAAGGCGGCUCACUGGACCGGAACUGACGCUGAGGCGCGAAAGCGUGGGGAGUAAACAGG